rnacentral:rRNA from 1 species
CUACGGGGGGCUCCAGUGAGGAAUAUUGCACAAUGGGGGGAACCCUGAUGCAGCAACGCCGCGUGGAGGAUGAGGCAUUUCGGUGUGGGGGAGGAGGGUAUAUGUCAAGAAAAUGACGGUAGCAUAUGAAUAAGCACCGGCUAACUCCGUGCCAGCAGCCGCGGUAAUACGGAGGGUGCAAGCGUUACUCGGAAUCACUGGGCGUAAAGGACGCGUAGGCGGGUUGGAAAGUCAGGUGUGAAAUCCUACAGCUUAACUGUAGAACUGCACUUGAAACUUCUAAUCUAGAGUAUGGGAGGGGGAGAUGGAAUUAGUGGUGUAGGGGUAAAAUCCGUAGAUAUCACUAGGAAUACCUAAAGCGAAGGCGAUCUCCUGGAACAUUACUGACGCUAAGGCGUGAAAGCGUGGGGAGCAAACAGGAUUCGAUACCCUAGUAGUC